ensembl:lncRNA XIST X inactive specific transcript
GGGAGAAAAUUGAUAUUCUCACUACCAUAUUUUGGGCUGUAGGCAAGUAGCAUUUUACACAGGUUUCCUUCAAAAAUCCAACUCAAGUUGGAGCUCAUGUAUUUAAGACAUAGCUGGCCUGCUGAAUUUAACAAGUUAAACUUCAGUGGCCAUGUACAGUUAUAUAUCACUAUAUAUAUGUGUAUUAGGCUGUCGAGUUGGUCAUGUUUUUGUUGGUGACUUAGGCUUUACUUGAUAGCUCUUCCUUGACCUUUCCAAAUUGAGUACUGAUACAUGGAGCUUGGGCUUCUUCUGCAUCUUAUACAAAUGAGUUUGGUAAAGAAGCCUCUCCUUUACUGUUUUGAUGUUUAUAUUAGAAAUAACUUUUGAUUAUUUUUUUUCAUGUUAGGAUGAGAAACUGAAACAAAAUGUAAAUUUGACCGGUGCUAGACUUCUUAAAUUAUGGGUAGACUUAAAGUAUUAUUUUCCUUAACCAAUUAGAAUGCUAGUCUUCUAGUGUUCCCGGAAACAUGAGAGGUUAUGCAGUAGACCCAAGCAAUACCCUCUUAUUACAUAAUCAAGUGCGUAUAAGAAUUUAAAAAUAGGGAUAUGACUGGAACAUCACUGUACUUUACCAGGUCCCAUUAUAAAAUUAUCUAUGUUACUUUACCCAUAGCUUUGAAAACUAGUGGCAUAGUAUAUUUUAUAGUAUGCUGUUAGUGUGAUUGGCAUUGAACAGUGAUGGGAUAUAAUCACUCUACAAUCUAUAUGUUAUUAAAGUUUUCCAGCCUUAUAGAUCUCCCUUGACUGAAAAUUAGCUACUAACUUACGACUUAUUUUUUACAGCAGAUUGACUAGGUCUUUCCAGGAAAUCUGUUGAUGUACAAAAACAAAGUUUAAUUGCUAAUGUUUUUUUAAAAAAUAACUUUUUGAUAUUACGGAUACCUGGUUAUUUGGGCCUUGUAUAUUUUAACAUCAAAAUUACCUAUUAUAAAUCCAUAUAAACAGAAAAGAAAGAGAGUAAGUCUUUAGAUCAGAUCUGCAAACAAUGAUGGUACGUACUGUAGAAAAAUCUGGAACAUAGACUUACCAGUUCUUAGGUUCCAUUUUGCUUGCUUUUUAAAAACUGUGUCUUAUAAGUCUUCAGCAACUGGUUGGGAGAUUUUUAGAAAAAAUAACCUUUUAAUGUUAGAACAGUGUAGAGAUUUACAGAAUGAUUCUGAAGAUAGAGUUUCUGUGUACUUCACACCCAGUUUUUCCCAGUGUUAACAUUUUACAUUAGUUUGGUACAUUUGUCACAACAAACCAAUAUUGAUACAUUAUUAUUAACUAGAGUCCAUAUUUUAUUCAGAUUUCCUUAGUUUUUCCUUAAUGUUCUUUUUGUGUUCCAGGAUCCCAUUGAAGAUACCACGCUGCAUGUGUCCUUAGUAGUCAUGUCUCCUUAGGCUCCUCUUGGACAUUCUGAGCAUGUGAGACCUGAGGACUGCAAACAGCUAUAAGAGGCUCCAAAUUAAUCAUAUCUUUCCCUUUGAGAAUCUGGCCAAGCUCCAGCUAAUCUACUUGGAUGGGUUGCCAGCUAUCUGGAGAAAAAGAUCUUCCUCAGAAGAAUAGGCUUGUUGUUUUACAGUGUUAGUGAUCCAUUCCCUUUGACGAUCCCUAGGUGGAGAUGGGGCAUGAGGAUCCUCCAGGGGAAAAGCUCACUACCACUGGGCAACAACCCUAGGUCAGGAGGUUCUGUCAAGAUACUUUCCUGGUCCCAGAUAGGAAGAUAAAGUCUCAAAAACAACCACCACACGUCAAGCUCUUCAUUGUUCCUAUCUGCCAAAUCAUUAUACUUCCUACAAGCAGUGCAGAGAGCUGAGUCUUCAGCAGGUCCAAGAAAUUUGAACACACUGAAGGAAGUCAGCCUUCCCACCUGAAGAUCAACAUGCCUGGCACUCUAGCACUUGAGGAUAGCUGAAUGAAUGUGUAUUUCUUUGUCUCUUUCUUUCUUGUCUUUGCUCUUUGUUCUCUAUCUAAAGUGUGUCUUACCCAUUUCCAUGUUUCUCUUGCUAAUUUCUUUCGUGUGUGCCUUUGCCUCAUUUUCUCUUUUUGUUCACAAGAGUGGUCUGUGUCUUGUCUUAGACAUAUCUCUCAUUUUUCAUUUUGUUGCUAUUUCUCUUUGCUCUCCUAGAUGUGGCUCUUCUUUCACGCUUUAUUUCAUGUCUCCUUUUUGGGUCACAUGCUGUGUGCUUUUUGUCCUUUUCUUGUUCUGUCUACCUCUCCUUUCUCUGCCUACCUCUCUUUUCUCUUUGUGAACUGUGAUUAUUUGUUACCCCUUCCCCUUCUCGUUCGUUUUAAAUUUCACCUUUUUUCUGAGUCUGGCCUCCUUUCUGCUGUUUCUACUUUUUAUCUCACAUUUCUCAUUUCUGCAUUUCCUUUCUGCCUCUCUUGGGCUAUUCUCUCUCUCCUCCCCUGCGUGCCUCAGCAUCUCUUGCUGUUUGUGAUUUUCUAUUUCAGUAUUAAUCUCUGUUGGCUUGUAUUUGUUCUCUGCUUCUUCCCUUUCUACUCACCUUUGAGUAUUUCAGCCUCUUCAUGAAUCUAUCUCCCUCUCUUUGAUUUCAUGUAAUCUCUCCUUAAAUAUUUCUUUGCAUAUGUGGGCAAGUGUACGUGUGUGUGUGUCAUGUGUGGCAGAGGGGCUUCCUAACCCCUGCCUGAUAGGUGCAGAACGUCGGCUAUCAGAGCAAGCAUUGUGGAGCGGUUCCUUAUGCCAGGCUGCCAUGUGAGAUGAUCCAAGACCAAAACAAGGCCCUAGACUGCAGUAAAACCCAGAACUCAAGUAGGGCAGAAGGUGGAAGGCUCAUAUGGAUAGAAGGCCCAAAGUAUAAGACAGAUGGUUUGAGACUUGAGACCCGAGGACUAAGAUGGAAAGCCCAUGUUCCAAGAUAGAUAGAAGCCUCAGGCCUGAAACCAACAAAAGCCUCAAGAGCCAAGAAAACAGAGGGUGGCCUGAAUUGGACCGAAGGCCUGAGUUGGAUGGAAGUCUCAAGGCUUGAGUUAGAAGUCUUAAGACCUGGGACAGGACACAUGGAAGGCCUAAGAACUGAGACUUGUGACACAAGGCCAACGACCUAAGAUUAGCCCAGGGUUGUAGCUGGAAGACCUACAACCCAAGGAUGGAAGGCCCCUGUCACAAAGCCUACCUAGAUGGAUAGAGGACCCAAGCGAAAAAGGUAUCUCAAGACUAACGGCCGGAAUCUGGAGGCCCAUGACCCAGAACCCAGGAAGGAUAGAAGCUUGAAGACCUGGGGAAAUCCCAAGAUGAGAACCCUAAACCCUACCUCUUUUCUAUUGUUUACACUUCUUACUCUUAGAUAUUUCCAGUUCUCCUGUUUAUCUUUAAGCCUGAUUCUUUUGAGAUGUACUUUUUGAUGUUGCCGGUUACCUUUAGAUUGACAGUAUUAUGCCUGGGCCAGUCUUGAGCCAGCUUUAAAUCACAGCUUUUACCUAUUUGUUAGGCUAUAGUGUUUUGUAAACUUCUGUUUCUAUUCACAUCUUCUCCACUUGAGAGAGACACCAAAAUCCAGUCAGUAUCUAAUCUGGCUUUUGUUAACUUCCCUCAGGAGCAGACAUUCAUAUAGGUGAUACUGUAUUUCAGUCCUUUCUUUUGACCCCAGAAGCCCUAGACUGAGAAGAUAAAAUGGUCAGGUUGUUGGGGAAAAAAAAGUGCCAGGCUCUCUAGAGAAAAAUGUGAAGAGAUGCUCCAGGCCAAUGAGAAGAAUUAGACAAGAAAUACACAGAUGUGCCAGACUUCUGAGAAGCACCUGCCAGCAACAGCUUCCUUCUUUGAGCUUAGUCCAUCCCUCAUGAAAAAUGACUGACCACUGCUGGGCAGCAGGAGGGAUGAUGACCAACUAAUUCCCAAACCCCAGUCUCAUUGGUACCAGCCUUGGGGAACCACCUACACUUGAGCCACAAUUGGUUUUGAAGUGCAUUUACAAGUUUCUGGCAUCACUACCACUACUGAUUAAACAAGAAUAAGAGAACAUUUUAUCAUCAUCUGCUUUAUUCACAUAAAUGAAGUUGUGAUGAAUAAAUCUGCUUUUAUGCAGACACAAGGAAUUAAGUGGCUUCGUCAUUGUCCUUCUACCUCAAAGAUAAUUUAUUCCAAAAGCUAAGAUAAAUGGAAGACUCUUGAACUUGUGAACUGAUGUGAAAUGCAGAAUCUCUUUUGAGUCUUUGCUGUUUGGAAGAUUGAAAAAUAUUGUUCAGCAUGGGUGACCACCAGAAAGUAAUCUUAAGCCAUCUAGAUGUCACAAUUGAAACAAACUGGGGAGUUGGUUGCUAUUGUAAAAUAAAA